GUUGAACCCAAGUCUUUUGAUUCAUAGACUCGUUGACCCAAAAUGUUAGGAGCCUUAAAGAAAUAAUAGAACCCACUCAUUUUUAAAGAUGAGAAAUCUCCCAAGUCUAGGACCCUCUAGGUCUGCUAUAGGAGCUGCACAGGAAGAAAAGAAAGAGAAAGCGAUCUGAUCACUCCCUCCACCACAUUAUAGACAGGAUCUAGGCACUGUUAACCGGGAAUCGGGAAAGGCUUUCUGUGGGAGAUGGCCCCAGAGCUGGGCCUUGAAGGAAGGGAGAGAUUCCAAGGGCGGAGGUGAAGGGGGGAGUUGCAUUCCAAGCAUGGGAAAGAUCUGGAGGACGGGGGCGGCAGGAAAGCAAAAGGGCAUGUUCCGGACUGGCCCAAGAGGAAUCAGUUUGGCUGGAACAUUGAGUGCAUGGGGAGAGGGGGGGCUACAUGGGGAGGGGGAUGCCUUAGACGCCCCCGCGGAGCUGGGCACUGCGCAGACGCCCCGAGGAGGGAGGCGGGCUUUUUCCAGCAACUAUUUAAGUUUCCCCCAAGUCUAAGCAGCCGGGUCUUGGGCUUGGAUGAGGGCUGUUGGUGUCACCCACACCUCCCCUUUUUCCUCCUCCCCACUCCCUGGUGACCUCCUCUCAUCUGGGCCAUGCAGUCUGUAGUGUCUCCUGUGACCAAGGCCAUCUUCGUGGCUUUGUUCCUCUUUGCCAUCCUGCUCAUCCUCUACGUGAUCCUCUGGUACAUCUGCAGAGACGUGGACAACGACUACAUCUGAGGUCCGCAGGCUGGAUGGCUGCUGUCUCCCGCACGAACAGUCCGGGAGGUUUUCCCGUGGCCACGGGCAUCGACUGCUCCUCUCCUUGUCCGGACUUGGGUACCUGGUUGCGGGCUGCUCCUGUGGCUGCUGGCCCAAAAGAGACUGCGCUGGAAGCUGGACAAAUGUGGCUUGGAGCGGGAGGGGUGCCAUGGAUGAGCGUGGACUGCAUCAGCAAUCAGGACCUGGGACACAAUUCAGUCUCUUGUCACUUACUCCCUUUGUGAUCUAAGACAAGUCACUUCUUUCUGGGCCUCAGUUUCCUCAUCUGCAAAAUGAGAGGAUUAGACUAGAUCAUAUCUAUGAGAUCCCUUCCAGCUCUAAAUCACUGACCCC
rnacentral:lncRNA from 1 species